rnacentral:rRNA from 1 species
AGAGUUUGACUCUGGCUCAGGAUGAACGCUAGCGAUAGGCUUAACACAUGCAAGUCGAGGGGCAGCGAGAUGUAGCAAUACGUCGUCGGCGACCGGCGAAUGGGUGAGUAACACGUAUGCAACUUACCUCUUAGUGGUGAAUAACCCGAUGAAAGUCGGACUAAUACACCAUACUCUCCUUAGAUCACAUGAGAAGAGGAGGAAAGAUUAAUCGCUAAGAGAUAGGCCUGCGUUCCAUUAGCUAGUUGGUAAGGUAACGGCUUACCAAGGCAACGAUGGAUAGGGGGACUGAGAGGUUGACCCCCCACAUUGACACUGAGAUACGGGUCAAACUCCUACGGGAGGCAGCAGUGAGGAAUAUUGGUCAAUGGGCGAGAGCCUGAACCAGCCAAGUAGCGUGCAGGAUGACGGCCCUAUGGGUUGUAAACUGCUUUUAUAAGGGAAUAAAGUGAGUCUCGUGAGACUUUUUGCAUGUACCUUAUGAAUAAGGACCGGCUAAUUCCGUGCCAGCAGCCGCGGUAAUACGGAAGGUCCGGGCGUUAUCCGGAUUUAUUGGGUUUAAAGGGAGCGUAGGCCGCAGGUUAAGCGUGUUGUGAAAUGUAGGGGCUCAACCUCUGCACUGCAGCGCGAACUGGCUUGCUUGAGUACGCACAACGUGGGCGGAAUUCGUGGUGUAGCGGUGAAAUGCUUAGAUAUCACGAAGAACUCCGAUUGCGAAGGCAGCUCACUGGAGCGCAACUGACGCUGAAGCUCGAAAGUGCGGGUAUCGAACAGGAUUAGAUACCCUGGUAGUCCGCACGGUAAACGAUGGAUGCCCGCUGUUGGCCUGAAUAGGUCAGCGGCCAAGCGAAAGCAUUAAGCAUCCCACCUGGGGAGUACGCCGGCAACGGUGAAACUCAAAGGAAUUGACGGGGGCCCG